CUACGGGCGGCUGCAGUGGGGAAUAUUGCACAAUGGGCGCAGGCCUGAUGCAGCCAUGCCGCGUGUUUGAAGAAGGCCUUCGGGUUGUAAAGUACUUUCAGCGGGGAGGAAGGGAGUAAAGUUAAUACCUUUGCUCAUUGACGUUACCCGCAGAAGAAGCACCGGCUAACUCCGUGCCAGCAGCCGCGGUAAUACGGAGGGUGCAAGCGUUAAUCGGAAUUACUGGGCGUAAAGCGCACGCAGGCGGUUUGUUAAGUCAGAUGUGAAAUCCCCGGGCUCAACCUGGGAACUGCAUCUGAUACUGGCAAGCUUGAGUCUCGUAGAGGGGGGUAGAAUUCCAGGUGUAGCGGUGAAAUGCGUAGAGAUCUGGAGGAAUACCGGUGGCGAAGGCGGCCCCCUGGACGAAGACUGACGCUCAGGUGCGAAAGCGUGGGGAGCAAACAGGAUUAGAUACCCCCGUAGUC
rnacentral:rRNA from 1 species